AUGCACGCUGGCGGCGUGCCUAAUCCCUGCCAGUCGAGCGAACAGAUGAGGAGCUUGCUCCUCUGACGUUAGCGGCGGACGGGUGAGUAACACGUGGAUAACCUACCUAUAAGACUGGGAUAACUUCGGGAAACCGGAGCUAAUACCGGAUAAUAUAUUGAACCGCAUGGUUCAAUAGUGAAAGACGGUUUUGCUGUCACUUAUAGAUGGAUCCGCGCCGCAUUAGCUAGUUGGUAAGGUAACGGCUUACCAAGGCAACGAUGCGUAGCCGACCUGAGAGGGUGAUCGGCCACACUGGAACUGAGACACGGUCCAGACUCCUACGGGAGGCAGCAGUAGGGAAUCUUCCGCAAUGGGCGAAAGCCUGACGGAGUAACGCCGCGUGAGUGAUGAAGGUCUUCGGAUCGUAAAACUCUGUUAUUAGGGAAGAACAAAUGUGUAAGUAACUAUGCACGUCUUGACGGUACCUAAUCAGAAAGCCACGGCUAACUACGUG
rnacentral:rRNA from 1 species